rnacentral:rRNA from 1 species
UACGGGGGGGGCAAGCGUUGUUCGGAAUUACUGGGCGUAAAGGGCUCGUAGGUGGCCAACUAAGUCAGACGUGAAAUCCCUCGGCGUUAACCGGGAACUGCGUCUGAUACUGGAUGGCUUGAGUUCGGGAGAGGGAUGCGGAAUUCCAGGUGUAGCGGUGAAAUGCGUAGAUAUCUGGAGGAACACCGGUGGCGAAGGCGGCAUCCUGGACCAACACUGACGCUGAACAGCGGAAAGCCAGGGGAGCAAACGGG